CCCCUCAUCUGUAAAGAUUAAAAAUCAAAGAAACACAUCGGGGUUAACGGUUGCAGAAGAAAAUGACGGGAGCGGAAUACGAUUUAUUUCUGGUAGUGAAAUUUCUGGUUUUUAAAGAAAGGGUGAAGAUGAAGAUGCAGGGGAUUGUUUCUGUUGAAGAAAUGGUGGACAAGAAUACAAAGGCAACAUCAAAAAGCCGUGAAGAAUUGAUUUCCGGAUUGGGAGAAUGCGAUAACAGGGAUAUCCAUUCUGACAUAAGUCUCAAUGAUUUUCUGUACCAAGGGUUUUUGACUUGAUGACGAAGGCCAUGUAGUUAUCUAUUGGAUUACUUAGACGGCUUCAUUUCACAAUUUAAGAACAUGGCGUUACACCCAAGAAAGUUUCGGACAGGACAGUAUGUGAAGGAGUGUGAGUAUAAAUGAUGGAGCAUUUGGAGUGGAACACUCUUUAGUCUAGUGUUUCCUAUCAAAUCACAAAGAUCAAUCUCUAUAAGGUCAACAUGAACAAAUGACCAAUUGAUGGAAAAGUGGUUUUGUGUGGUUACACCCUUGUACAUAUAGUGAGGCAGGCGGUCGUAACAUUGCUUUGCCAGAGAAUCAGAAGUUGUUUGUUAUAAAACAUCGGCACAACAGGGAAACUCCUUAAUGGUAGUUCACUCUGUUGAAUUGGACAGAGCAGUCGAGUAGAACAAAAACGAUCUCAAAUAUGAAGGUAUACCCCUCGAUCUCUUGCAACGUCCGGGAUAUUGUUAGGGAAGCAUGCGCCAAUAUGAAGAUAAAAAAGGUGUUCUCAGGUAGUACUGAAUAUUGGAAUCAAGGUCUGCCUUCAUGGGUUCUUUCAAUAAUCGGCGAACUUAGACACUUCCUUAAUGUAAAUCCUUCUUCUAAAUAAAUUCAUAGUUCGUAAUAAAAUGAAAAUAAAGAAUAGUGAUUUUGAAGUUCACGUAGUCGAGCAACAGUGCCCCUUGUGCAAGAGUGCAUGACCAAAUUAAUAGAAAGGAAAUGUGACGAGGACAGCUAGGAAUUCGUUUCUUAAUAUCCACAGUGUAGGCACCAAUUUUUUUAUUUUUUGAAGCACCAAAUAUGACAUUCUGUAAAGGGUGGAAGUAAUCCCAUAAGUGGUUGUAGAAUUGUGGAACCUCAUGUAUAU